GGAUAACCCGGCGAAAGUCGGACUAAUACCGCAUAAAACAGGGGUCCCGCAUGGGAAUAUUUGUUAAAGAUUUAUCGGUUGCGGAUGGGCAUGCGUACCAUUAGGUAGUUGGUGAGGUAACGGCUCACCAAGCCUUCGAUGGUUAGGGGUUCUGAGAGGAAGGUCCCCCACACUGGUACUGAGACACGGACCAGACUCCUACGGGAGGCAGCAGUGAGGAAUAUUGGUCAAUGGGCGAGAGCCUGAACCAGCCAAGUCGCGUGAAGAAUGACUGCCCUAUGGGUUGUAAACUUCUUUUACAAGGGAAUAAAAUGAGAUACGUGUAUUUUAUUGCAUGUACCUUGGGAAUAAGCAUCGGCUAACUCCGUGCCAGCAGCCGCGGUAAUACGGAGGAUGCGAGCGUUAUCCGGAUUUAUUGGGUUUAAAGGGUGCGUAGGUGGGCUGUUAAGUCAGCGGUGAAAGUUUGUCGCUUAACGAUAAAAUUGCCGUUGAAACUGGUAGUCUUGAGUAUAGAUGAAGUAGGCGGAAUGCGUGGUGUAGCGGUGAAAUGCAUAGAGAUCACGCAGAACUCCGAUUGCGAAGGCAGCUUACUAAGGUAUAACUGACACUGAAGCACGAAAGCGUGGGUAUCAAACAGGAUUAGAUACCCUGGUAGUCCACGCAGUAAACGAUGAUUACUAGGAGUUUGCGAUAUACAGUAAGCUCUACAGCG
rnacentral:rRNA from 1 species